GGCUAGUCAGAGUGUAGUGGUGUUUACAGUUGAUCACAGACAGUUACAGAUUUCUUUGUUCCUUCUCUACUCCCACUGCUUCACUUGAGUAGCCUAAA
rnacentral:Y_RNA from 1 species